rnacentral:rRNA from 1 species
UACGUAGGGGGCAAGCGUUGUCCGGAAUUAUUGGGCGUAAAGCGCGCGCAGGCGGGUGGACAAGUCGGAAGUGAAAUCCCAGGGCUCAACCCUGGGGCUGCUCCCGAAACUGUUCGCCUAGGGACUGGUAGAGGCUGGUAGAAUUCCCGGUGUAGCGGUGGAAUGCGUAGAGAUCGGGAAGAAUACCUGUGGCGAAGGCGGCCAGCUGGGCCAGGUCCGACGCUGAGGCGCGAAAGCGUGGGGAGCAAACAGG